rnacentral:rRNA from 1 species
GACGAACGCUGGCGGCGUGCUUAACACAUGCAAGUCGAACGGAAAGGCCCUGCUUGCAGGGUACUCGAGUGUCGAACGGGUGAGUAACACGUGGGUGAUCUUCCCUUCACUUCGGGAUUAGCCUGGGAUACUGGGUCUAAUACCGGAUAGGAGCCAUUUUUAGUGUGAUGUUUUGAAAUUUUUUUCGGUGUAGGAUGAGCUCGCGGCCUAUCAGCUUGUUGGUGGGGUAAUGGCCUACGAAGGCGGCGACGGGUAGCCGGCCUGAGAGGGUGGACGGGAACAAUGGGACUGAGAUACGGCCCAGACGCCUACGGGAGGCAGCAGUGGGGAAUAUUGCACAAUGGGCGCAAGCAUGAUGCAGAGACGUCGCGUGGGGGAUGACGGCCUUCGGGGUGUAAACUCCUUUCGCUAGGGACGAAGCUUUUGUGACGGUACCUAGAUAAGAAGCACCGGCUAACUACGUG